GUUUACUAUAUGGAUAUUCUCCAGAAGACUUCCACUUCCACCUAUGACAGAGGACCCGCUACCUGACUCACCUGCCUGUCUCAACCAUAAAGCUGGCAGAUGUGGGACAAUGUGCAGCACAAAACAGUGGUCCUGGAGAGAAGGGCAACUCACGAGGAAGUCAGCUUGUGAAGGCCUCGGUGCCUGCUUGAGGACAGUACUCUGAUGACCGCAACAUAACGAGCUAGAUUCCAAGCACGCCACUGUGGUCUGACUCAGCUGAAGAGGCAGAGUUCAGGGCCAUCAGUGGCGGGAAUCUGCCAGGUAGGGCCACAGGGGGAAGGAAGCUGCACAGAGGAGCCCGAGCUUCUCUGGGGAGAAGCCUGUGUGCGGACAGGGUUGAGCUGCUCAUAUUAGUACCAGUGUACCUGAGGAAGACCAGAGAGUAUUGACCACAAGGUCGAGAGCCAACAGACCUACCAGAGGUGGAGCCCGGCUGCGGGGGUGAGGCCAGCCCAGCCAGAGUGGAGACCUUGCUGGUACCUCAGUAAUACUCCAGACAUCCAAUCAAGACACCAGAAAGACGCAUCUUAGAAGAAAAGAUCUUACCCUAGAAUAAGAGCUACGAAAAACACCCUUCCGAUGAGGGUAAAACCUAUAGUCCGUCAACGAAACCUGAGAGAAUUGCCAGAAGAUCUGUACUAUAGGAAAUGCUAAUGAACUUGAGGCUGAAGGGAACUGCUAGAUAGAAAUUUGGAUCUACAGGAAGAAAUGAAAAAGUACUGGAAAUGAUAAUUGCCUUAAAAGGCAACUGAAUGUUUACAUCAGAAUAGGAGCAGGUAAAAGGGAUUAUACUACUGUAAAACCGCGUUACUUCUGAAGUGGUGUGAAAUGUCGAGUUGGAUGUUAUUGUGGCUGAAGGACAUAAAAACAUCUGGCCCCACACAGGCCAUUCGUUUAAGAAGAUUUCUGGAGUCUUCCUAUUUCAAAGCGGCAGAAAAAACAAAAUCCCAGCACAGGUUCCGUUUUGGACUUCUUCACCAAUCAUCUACUCCUGGAAUACCUCAAACACUUCCAAAACAUGCCACAGAGAUGACUUCUAAACAGCUGCCCUUGAGGAUCUGCCCCCACUUCCGUGUCCACACCGUACUUCCCCCCGGCUGACCUGAGCUAACGACUGGGCAUGCGGGCAUGUUAUGGCUGGCCCACUCCUGCAAGACACAGGACUCCUGUGAUGGGCCUCGUUGAUGGAUGUCUCACCGCUGACCCCGCUGAAACGUCCCUAGAACACCGUAUUGCAACACUGCACUUGCUCGACCCUCUCCACUCCUCCUUCCCUCUCCUCCACAGGGUGUGAUAAUACACUGUGAUCUCAUGCUUCCCCCACUUCUAUGUUUCCCCCCCUUCCCCUCACAGGCCUUUCUCCCAAUAAAUGUCUUGCACAUGCCUUCUGCUUCUCAGAUGACAUGAACAGACACAAGUAGUACUAAAGAAUGGUCCAUGAAAACAGGUGGUGUGAGGCAGGGAUUUGAAACAGACUCAUUACCCAGCACGAAAGGAGAACAUCAUCCGGAAAGGAAGGUCACUGGUACAAACGAUGUGGUUUACACUGAAAACCUGCUUUUCCUUCUGGAAAUGUGGAUUUGGAAUGUGCUAGGAAGAGGCUGCCUACUCAACCAGUCCCCAAGAAAAACUCUGGGAACUGAGGCUCUAUAAAUGAGUGUCUGUGGUGGACAUUAUCUCACGUGUGCUGUCACAAACUGCCGCUAAAGGAACUGUGUCCUGUUGAGACCACACUAGGAGAGGUUUCUUAGGAACCUGUGCCUGGUUUCCCUCAGGAUUCGCUGCAUGCACUCCAUUCCCCUUGCUGGUUUUCUUUGAAUUCUCUUGUAAUAAAUUGUGAGUAUGACUCUGUGAGUUCUCUAAAUCCUCCCAGUCAAUCAGUGGACUUAAGGUGAUCCUGGGGACCCCUAACACAGGAUCAAAUCCACACUGGGACUGUAGUCUGACAGCUGUCCCCACUUCCUCUGGCUCGUGCCCCUUUCUCCCUCACAGGUGUUUCCCCAAAUAAAUCUCUAGCUCACCUAAAUCUCAUUUUAGCAUUUGCUUCUGGGAUGACCUAAAUCUAAUGUGCCAAUGAAUAUUACUGAAUAUUCUCCUAACACCUUAUAACAACUGAAACUACAUUCUCUAUCUUGCCAAAGAAAUCCCCAUCAACUCAGUCACUCAAAUAGAAAAUCAUUCUCACUUCCUCCAGGUUUACUCACGAUUAUUACCCCACAUGCUCCAUUCUGAACCCCUUCAUCUUUAGACUACUAAGUAAGACCUCCCAUUGGCUCCCAUUUCUAGUUUAAAGCCCUUUGCUGACCGCUUACUGCUUACAGAUAAGAAAUGGGUGCCUUUGGUCCCGAAUCUACAGCCAGCACACCCAGCCAGACCCUCUCUCUCCUUCUACGACAUAACUCCAGUCACAUCUAAUUCCCAGCCCACUUCUGAUCAUCACUCCUUGGUAUUUUAUAUUCUUGCUGUCUCAAAUACCCUUUCUAUUAUUUAUAAGCAACACGAAUUUCUAUUUGUGCUUUGAAAUACAGCUCAAACACAGUAACUAGUGAAGCUGCUGCAUUGGACUGACUCUCCCCACAGACUCCCAUAGCACACUGAUAUAAUCUGGCCUUAUGUCACACUGUUUUUAUAGUUCUAUCUCCCUUCAAAAAUACAAACCAUAUUUUUAUUCUAAACUUGAUACUUAAUACAUUACUGAUGAAAUAUUCAUAACAUUCAUAAGGUUGACUCUCUUAUAUAAACAAGCCAAGAGGUAUAUGUAUCCCAAGGAAGCAUGAGUAGAAGAGCCAGACUUUAUUCUAUCAGGAACCAGCUCAUGGAUCACACGUUGCAAGGAAAAAAAAAUUUUAACCUAAUAUUCUUCUAAGAAAAGCCUAUUAAAUAUGUAUUCUAAGGAUUAAUAUUGAGGGCAAAGUAUUACAGGGCGCCUGGGUAGCUCAUUUGCUUAAGCGGCUGACUCUUGAUUUUGGCUCAGUUCAUGAUCUCAGGGUCAUGAGACUGAGCCCUGCAUCAGCCUCCACGCUCAGCUCAGAGUCUGCUUGUCCCUCUCCCUCACCCUCUAUCCCCCCCCCACUUGCAUGCAUGUACACACACACACGUUUUCUCUCUCUCUAAAAAUGAAUGGGUAAAUAAAAUGUUAAAAAAAAAUCUUUAAUUACUUCUAAAAAAAAAGGAUUAAAUUUAUGUUGUACUUAAAAUGAUAAGAGCUUCCAGGGAAGAGUAGGAGAACCCUAAGGCCAUCUCAUCCCAUGGACAUGACUAGAUAACACUCAUAUCAGUGUAAAUAACCCAGAAAAUGAUAAAAAACUGGAAGAACAAACUCCAUUCACAGCUAAAUGUAGAGAAGAUGCCAUAUCAAAGAGGGCAGGAAGGGUGGAGACUCAGUCAGAGGCUAAAUGGAACCACAGGACUGUCUGCUGGAGGAAGGGAUGCUGCGGGCAUGGAGUAGAGAGAAACAGACCCUCACUCUGAGGAGCCCAUACAGGAAAGAUGAAUCCUCAUAACAUUUGGCUUUGAAAACCACAGGGGCUGAAUUCUGCAAGUUCUUAUAAUCAGAAGGACUUAAAACCUGGAACUUUAAAAAUAAGCAGGCUCAGGUCUGGGAAAGCCUGGAGAGAGAGAGGAAACUGAGUCCCUGUUCUUAGUGAGCACAAGAGACAGCCCUCUGGGAUACAGCAGAGAAGCAGCAGUUUGAAAAUCGCCUGGGACAUAGGGGAGGGAGGUCUGUUUACUAACCUCAAAGCCUGUAUUGGAGGGGCAAGGAUCUUUGGGAGACUUCUCCAAGAACAAAAGACCUGGCAGCCACUAUUUCUGUCCCCUGCCCCCCAGUCUAGACUCAAGGACACUGCGAGGAACAGCACAACACUGACACCUUCUAACUAACUUGCCAACAGUAUACCUGCUCCCAUGUUUUCCUGCAGACCCAUCGCCUCCAGUCAGGAUUCCAACUUGCCUCCAAUAGCAAACCUAUUCACAUCCUGAUAACCACACACAUCCCAGCCCAGUGCUCUCCUGUGGACUUGGCUCCUCCAAUACGCUCUUGGCCAGAGACCACUGAAGCCGUGCAACAAGCUUGGUGUGUGCAAGCGGCUCCAACAGGAGCCAGCAGCACUCCAAAGUGACUCCUGCUCCAGGGAGAGAGAACCACACACAGUGAUCAGACUGCAGCCCCAGUGGUGGGGUAGAGGCAGACAGGGGAUCUGAUUAUAGGACCUGCCCACCAACAAAAUCUUCUCUGGGGACAACAAAAGGAAAGUGCCCUGCACUUUGGUGCUCCUGCAUCUCUCGCAAACACUUGGUCUGACUCAACUCAAGCCCAAGGGGACCCCAGACUGGCCCACUAACAACCCAGGGACCACACCCUGUCCACAACAGGUAAAGAAAGACAUUAUAGAUAACUGGACUGAAGGAAAAAGUGGCUCAGCCACAACAUCAGGGCACGUGCAACACACAGAGGAGAUGCCCCUGAAGCACCAGGUGCUGGUGAUCAGGGCCACUGCACUGCAGGGCAUGACAACACGUUGUCUUCAGAAAGCAAGGCGGGAGAUAGAGCUGACUUCCCUAACACAGAAAAACAGUUACAGAGAGUUAGACAAAAUGAGGACACAGAGGAAUAUGUCUCAAAUGAAAGAACAGAACAGAGUCACAGGAAGAAACUUAUGUGAAAUGGACAUAGUAAUAUGACUGAAAGAGAACUUAAAAUAGUGGUCAAAAAGAUGCUCUCUGAAAAAAGAGUGAAGGACAUCAGCAAGACCCUUAACAAAGAGAUGGAAAACAUAGAACCAAUCAGAGAUGAAUAACCCAAUAAAUGAAAUUAAAAACACAGCAGAUGGAAAGAAUAGUAGACUAGAGGACAUAGAAAAAUGGAUCAACAACUUGGAGGACAGAAUAAUGGAAAGCAGUCAAGUUGAACAGUAAGAGAAAAAAAAGUAAUACAAAAUAAAAACAGUUUUCGGGCCUCAGCAACACCAUCAAGUGUAGUAACAUUUGCAUUAUAAGGAUCCCAGAAGGAGAAGACAGAGAAAAGGGAGCAGAAAAUUUACUUCGACAAAAUAGUAUCUAAAAACUUCCCAAUGCUGGAGAGGGAAACAAAUUCAUAUCCAGUAGGCACAGAAAUCCCCCAACAAAAUCAUCUCAAGGAGGUCCACACCAAGACACAUAGUAAUUAAGAUAGCAAAAAGUAGUGAUAAAGAGAAUUUUUAAAGCAGCAAGAGAAAAGAAAAUAGUUACAUACAAGGAAAACCUCAUAAGGCAAUCAUAUGAUUUUUCAGCAGAAACAGGGCAGGUCAGAAAAAAGUGCAAUGAUGUAUUCAAAGGGCUGAAAGGAAAAAAAAACCCUGCAGCCAAGAAUACUCCAUUCAGCAAGGCUAUCAUUCAGAAUAGGAGAGAUAAAGAGUUA
rnacentral:lncRNA from 1 species